AUGAUUUUCCUCGUUCACCACUUGGUCUUGCUGGCCACAGACUUACUUCUCGCAACGAUCCUUUCUUGCCUCCUUUAUGCCUUUGCAUUCGUUUCCAUUGCUGUUUUUACCUGCUUCAUUAUCUUCUGGUCCUUCGGCGUCGUGGAGAAGAACAUUGACAUAAAAGGGAGAGCAAUUGUAAUUCUCGUAUCCAACAGCUCAAUUGGGAGGACGUUUGCUAGGAACUUGGAUAAAGCAGGUUUUAGGGUGUCUGCUGCACACUGGCCUCCUCAAGAGGAGGGAACAACUGCGAAAGAAGAGUGCUCUUCAAGAAUGGAGGUAGCACAGCUCCACAUGACAGAUGAUGAGUACCAGAAGACAAUGAAAACCUUCAUAGAAAGCCACUUAUCCCUGAAAGGCACGUAUGGGCUGAUGAAGAAGCCAUCAAUCCUGAUAUGGGAAGAAGUGGAACCAGACACGUGCAGGUUACCCGAGAGAAGAACCCCUCAUAAAUGGAAGAAGGUUUUCAGGGUUCCAGCCCUCUGCAUCACAGCCCUCUUUUGCCCACUGAACUGUGCCCUGACUUUCCUGAAGAAGAGAGUUCUGCAGCCCCGUAUGCUCUUGAAGCCCAAAAACUGAGGGAAGGAGACCCAUGGAGCAACACAAAUUAAUAUUCUAAUGUCACAAAAAGAAGACGCUACAGGAAGGAGCACAGCUGGGAUCUAAAAUGAGGGAGAACGAGUAGUGACUUCAGUCACAGGACAACGAAAAACUGCAGAUGAAGACAGAAAGCAACUCCUGAACUGUGAGACAGGUCUCUAACUCACUUUCAAGUCUAAUGUGUAAGCAAGAGGACACUGAUGUUUGGGGUUCUGUUACAAUGCUGCACUGCACACACUAGGAUACACACACACACACACACACACAGAGAAAGAAGGAAAAAAUGACAACAUGAGGUAAAAGAAAAUGAAGGAAUAAUUUCUCUGAGAAGAAAAAUGCAAGGGCUUAGGUUUCUUUAUCUGAAGCCGCAACUAAGAACUACCUGACUGAUGAUAAGAGAUCCAGAAGCUGGAUCCAGAGAGAAAAGGGAAAGCUUUCAGAACUGCUUCUAGAAGGCAUUAAAUCAGCCUGCUAUCCAGCCAGAUUGGAAACAAAUAUUUUAAUUCCAAAACGUCACAGCACUGGGAGAGAAACCUGCUAAAGCAAAAAAAUUCUGAAUGAAAACCUUGUGGUUUUUAGUUUAUGUAUUUGACAAGCAACUCGUUAUACUAACAACACCAAUACUACAUAUUCUGCAGAAUAUUCCAGGAAAGGUGUCCUUUAGCCAGAACCCAGUUUGAGCCAGGGCUCUCAACUCAGUGUGUCACUCCAUUCUGUGCAUGCCACCUUGUGCAAUUUCAGCUGAUAGCCAACAUUUCCUCGCCCAGACUAACACAGAGGACUUGUGUGGGGCACCACCUGCCUAUUGCUUUUCCCCCCUCAAAAGUGACCUUCACUCAAAGGCCAACACCUACUUGUGUACACAGCAGUCUCCGCUGCCUGAAUCUAGAGACACUGUAUGAACAAAGCUCCCAGAGACUCCACUGGAAAUGUUGCUUGCUCAAGGAUGUGAGGAUGGUCCAUGUUUGUUUAUGAAGUUUCCCAGUCCACUGAGAUGCAGAGAACUACUGCAUGCAGGCAUGAAAUUGUGACUGAGAGGAAAUACCACCACAGGAUAAACUACAAUAUAACUGCACUUAAAAGUGUGUUUAGAACAAAUUUGAUAUAGCAAACUAACACUGAAGUUACAGACUGAGAUUCCUGAAGCUGACUAGGGGAUCUGAGUGCCUGGUUGCUUUUAAUUGAGUGGUAAUGAGAGAUUUGAAUUCCUUAAACCAAAUGGAAUCCUUUAGCACUAAUGCAUAUGUUAAUUGUGAAUCUAUGACUGAUGUUCUUUCUUCCUUGAUGUUUGUAUUCCUACCAAAAAAACAAAACAAAACAAAACCCAAAAAAACCCAACACUAAGACAGCAUUCCCCAGUUGAAUACUUGCCAACAUUGCCAUUCUCUCAUUAGCAUUCUCUCUCCAUUUUUUUCAGGCCCUUUUCUCACAGUGUUCCUCCUUGAGCAGAGGUUAGCCACACAGCUAGCUCCAAUGAAGGCAGAGCCCAGCAUGCAGGUGCUACUCACCUCCAGGCAGCACCUGGAAGGUGUUUCAAAUAGCCACGGCCUUCCAAAUGAGAAAUGUCCCUGUAUGUGUUUACAGUCUUCUAGAAAAGAAAAACAGGAGGGGAGGAGUAAGAGAAAAGAGAGGGCAGGGAAGCAGUAUAAUAAUGAUUAGCAUAAUGGGAUUUGCUAUUCUUGUUAAUAGUUUAAUCAAAAUAAACAUUUACUGAACCCUCUUAAUGUGCUUGCCAUGAUCAAAGUGCUUUAUAUUUAGCUUAGCCCUUGUAAGCCCUGGUUAGCAUUGUCUGCAUCUCUGCCGCCCACUUACUUAGGCCACAAAGCCAGGGGUGAAGCUGGCACUGGGACCUGCAUUUCCUGGCACCUAAAAACCCCACCACGCACAUGUGGUAUUUCCUCAGCCACAUGUGUGCUGGCUGUGCUGCAUUCGCCAGACACACGAUACUGAAGAGACAGAUCUCAGUGUAUGUGGGACUUGCUGUGUACGUGCAAGUGAAGUGCAGAGGUGCUGUGUUCCAAGGCACCACUUGCUCCACCGCUAACUUUGGCGCUGUGCACGCCUCUCACCUGUGCUGGAGGUGGCCCAACACUUCUAAAGCUUUGUGGAUGACACACAGUUGGAUCUUGCACUUCUCAUACAGUCUUUCCUUGAGCAAAUCACGUAGCAGCAGCCCCUGCUUUGUGAGCUCAUUAACUAGUUGCUGAACAAUACACACAAGAUACAAAAGCAGCCAGACACAGAGGAUGCUGGUGGCAGGGUGGAACAAUACCAGUCCCACAGAGCUGAUGGAGUGAGAGUGGGGGUGCCACAAUAGCUUUGCUGGGUUUUGUCCUAGAGCAGUGAUAUUUGCUACUUUGUAUCCGAUCAUUUAUCAUAUAUUAUGCGAUAUUCUUUGAUAUGAUACCAAUAUGUUCUGUGGAACCCCAGGCCUUCCUUACAAUCCUAUUGUUCAGUUUGAUUUGAGGCAGAGAGGGAGAAAAACUGACUUAAGUAUUGCUUUCAUGUCUCUAAAAAGAAUAUGCUAAAAGCAUGUAAA
rnacentral:lncRNA from 7 species